rnacentral:rRNA from 1 species
ACGUAGGUGGCAAGCGUUGUCCGGAUUUAUUGGGUUUAAAGGGCGCGUAGGCGGUCUUUUAAGUCAGUGCUGAAAUACUCCAGCUUAACUGGAGGGGUGGCAUUGAUACUGGGAGACUUGAGUAUAGUUGAGGUAGGCGGAAAUGACGGUGUAGCGGUGAAAUGCUUAGAUAUCGUCAAGAACACCGAUAGUGAAGACAGCUUACUAAACUAUAACUGACGCUGAGGCACGAAAGUGUGGGGAUCAAACAGAA